rnacentral:rRNA from 1 species
GACGGAGGGCGCAAGCGUUGUUCGGAAUACUGGGCGUAAAGCGCGGGCAGGCGGUCUGUUAAGUCGUUUUUGUGAAAACCCGGGGCUCAACCCCGGGAAUGCAUACGUACUGGCAGGCUGGGAGACUGGUAGAGGCUAGCGGAAUUCCUGGUGUAGCGGUGGAAUGCGUAGAUAUCAGGGAAGAACACCUGGUGGCGAAGGCGGCUAGCUGGGCCAGUUCUGACGCUCGAUCCGCGAAAGCGUGGGGAGCAACAGG